rnacentral:misc_RNA from 1 species
UGACAAAUAGACCGUGCACACGUUAUCCAUCCCGCCGAUGGCGGCAUUGCUCGCCAUCCGGCCAAGUCCCCGACCACCUCCCCUCCUCGGAAGGGGGGCCGGGGCAACAGAACCCACGGCGCCGACGGCGUCAAGGAACACUAUGCCUAACUCGAGGGUGUGGCUGGCUUGCUAGCCGCCCCUCGUGUUGCACUAUCUAAUCCAUACGACUCUCGGCAACGGAUAUCUCGGCUCUCGCAUCGAUGAAGAACGUAGCGAAAUGCGAUACCUGGUGUGAAUUGCAGAAUCCCGCGAACCAUCGAGUCUUUGAACGCAAGUUGCGCCCGAGGCCACCCGGCUGAGGGCACGCCUGCCUGGGCGUCACGCCAAUACACGCUCCCACAACCCUCAUUGGGUUGAGGGAUGCGGAUUCUGGCCCUCCGUGCCGUGAGGCACGGCGGGCSGAAGAUUGGGCUGCCGGCGUAUCGUGCCGGACACAGCGCGUGGUGGACUUCUACUCAGCGCAGUGCAUUCGGCAUGUAGCCGGCGCAGCGGCCCUAAGGACCCAACGAACGGAGCGCAUGUCGCUCCGACC